rnacentral:lncRNA from 1 species
CAGAUGGGGAAAACCAGGCCCGACAGGGUAAGUGAUUUGCCUGCAGCCCUGUAGCACCUGGCAGACCUCAGCAGAAACCAGGGCCAGGGCCAUGUUGCGCUAAUUCACGGCAGAGAGCCAGUGCAUUACACUUGCCUCAGAGGGGUUACAGCCUGCUUGCUCCUCUGCAUGCAUGAGCUGAGUGUGACCCCACAAACUCUUUUGCCUGGAGACAGGAUGAAAUAUAAGAGACUCCCAGUUUGUACGCUGUGAAAACACUCGGUUGUGCCCUCCGCUCCUCAUCCUGCCCAGCCGCCCACAGUGCUCCGGAGGGCAGCUCUCAGGAGCGCAGCAGCUCCCAAGAGCCAAAGUUCAAGUUGGAACAUCGAAACUCACAUGGCUUAAAUCACUGGUGGGAUACCUCUGGUGCUGACACCGAUGUACCCAGCUCGGGCCUACUGAGAGCUUGGACAGUGCUGGGCCCACACGCUCCCCUCUGUCAGCUUUCCUCUCCCUGCCAGCUGCAGCAACCAACACUGCCUACAGCAAAUGUGUCACAUGUAGAUGAGGAAAACAAGAAGAAAGGACAAAAACAGUUGCUAACUUAGGGUUCCUUGGUUUUUGAGCACUCCCAUCCUGUACAAAACAGAACCAAAGUGACAUCAGGGACCACCUGAAGAACACGGCUUUCUUGUCACUUUACCACGACACUGUGGAACCACCGUGGGUGCUGACAAAGGUUUAAUCUGCUUGACAGACACAGAAAACACAGAACAAAUUAGGAAAAGAACCAGAACAAAAGCUCCUGGCAC